rnacentral:misc_RNA from 1 species
GAUGAAGAACGUAGCGAAAUACGAUAAUUAAUGUGAAUUGCAGAAUUCCGUGAAUCAUCGAGUCUUUGAACGCACAUUGCGCCCCCUGGUAUUCCGGGGGGCAUGCCUGUCCGAGCGUCAUUGCUGCCCUCAAGCACGGCUUGUGUGUUGGGCCUCCGUCCUCCUCCCGGGGGACGGGCCCGAAAGGCAGCGGCGGCACCGCGUCCGGUCCUCGAGCGUAUGGGGCUUCGUCACCCGCUCUUGUAGGCCCGGCCGGCGCUUGCCGACACAUCAAUCUUUUUUCCAGGUUGACCUCGGAUCAGGUAGGGAUACCCGCUGAACUUAAGCAUAUCAAUAAGCGGAGGA